CAUUAUGGACUGUAGCGGUGCAGUACGGCUUUUGGGAAGACCAAUCAGGAGAGGGUUACAAUAAUCCAUGCAGGAAAUUACUAGACCAUGGACAAGCUCCUUGGUAGCAUCUUGCGUAAGAAAGGGGCGGUUGGGGGCUAUGUUUUUAAGAUGGAAUCUACAGGAUUUGGCAACAUACUGGAUGUGAGGCCAGAAUCAAGUAUGAUGCCAAGACAGCGCACUUGCAAGGAUGGACUUAUGUGGAUACCACUAACUUGAAGGGAG